rnacentral:tRNA from 1 species
GGACCGGUGUCCGAGCGGCUUAAGGAGCACGAUUGGAAAUCGUGUGGGGUUAAUAGCCCUCGUGGGUUCGAAUCCCACCCGGUCCG